AUGAACGCUGGCGGCGUGCCUAAUCCAUGCAAGUCGCGCGAACGGACGAGAAGCUUGCUUCUCUGAUGUUAGCGGCGGACGGGUGAGUAACCCGUGGAUAACCUACCUAUAAGACUGGGAUAACUUCGGGAAACCGGAGCUAAUACCGGAUAAUAUUUUGAACCGCAUGGUUCAAAAGUGAAAGACGGUCUUGCUGUCACUUAUAGAUGGAUCCGCGCUGCAUUAGCUAGUUGGUAAGGUAACGGCUUACCAAGGCAACGAUGCAUAGCCGACCUGAGAGGGUGAUCGGCCACACUGGAACUGAGACACGGUCCAGACUCCUACGGGAGGCAGCAGUAGGGAAUCUUCCGCAAUGGGCGAAAGCCUGACGGAGCAACGCCGCGUGAGUGGUGAAGGUCUUCGGAUCGUAAAACUCUGUUAUUAGGGAAGAACAUAUGUGUAAGUAACUGCGCACAUCUUGACGGUACCUAAUCAGAAAGCCACGGCUAACUACGUG
rnacentral:rRNA from 1 species